rnacentral:lncRNA from 1 species
GACCAUCAUUUCGCAUGGAAGGGGGGAGAGAGAUCUGAUCACAGAAGUAGACAAUGGCACACUGGAGGACAGACAAGACUAGGGAAUGAGGCUGCAGCUCAGAGGCUUCCUCUCAUCAUUGCAGAUGAUGGAAAGGAAGCUGUGGGCAUUAUCAAAUCACUACAGAACCAUGCUGGCAGCAUUAUCAUAUCACAACAGAACCAUGUUGGCAGCAUUAUCAUAUCACUACAGAACCAUGUUGGCAACAUUAUCAUACAAUGUAGGCAGUAUAAUAUAAUUACAGGACAAUGUAGGCAGUAUAAUAUAAUUACAGAACAAUGUAGGCAGUAUAAUCAUAUCAUUACAGAAGCCACUUCAUACUAUUUACAUGUGCUAUUGAGAGGUCAAUGUCCGAGAUGGACGAGCCACUGUGGGUUCAGUCACGGGGUGAGUGGGAUGUAGAACAGCGUUCUUCCCGAAGAUCUAUUCAUUUGGUAUUCAGGUCCAAUAGUGAGCACCACUGUACAGCGCAGCACGUCCUGUCCCAGAACGUGAUUGAUCAGCACGCACAUGACCCCACAGUUAAUUGAAUCAAAGGUUGUUGGAGGCCUUGCGCCAGAAUAAAAGUGGGAAAGUCCUUCAUUCGCUUCAAGCACAGACUGCUUUCCUUUGAGCUCAAAUUCAAUUGUGUUUAUGGGGAAUGGAGCAUUAAUCUAUAUCUUUCUCAUAUUUCAUGUUUUUUUUCCUCAAACCAAGAAAAGCACAUUUCUGUAUUUAAAGGAUGCAAUAAAACGAAACAAGCAUGAUCACUUUUGUGUUUAAUUAAAAGCAAUCAAUAAUAUUCUAAUUUAUUUCUUAAAGGAAUGCUACUCAAUCAAAAUAUGUGAUAGGACUCCCAAGUGGCGCAGCGGUCUAAGGCACUGAUCAGUACUAGAGGCGUCACUACAGAGCCAGGUUCGAUCCCGGGCUGUGUCGCAGCUGACCGCGACCCAGAGACCCAUGAGGUGGCGCAAAAUUGGCCCAGCGUCGUCCGUGUUAGGAAGGGUUUGGCCUGUUGGGAAGUCCUUGUCCCAUCGCGCUCUAGCGACUCCUUGUGGCGACUGGGCACAUGCACGCUGACUGCGGUCGCCAGCUGUACGAUGUUUCCUCCGACACAUUGGUGUGGCUGGCUUCUGGGUUAAGCGAGCAGUGUGUCUGGGCAGGGUUACUACUAUAGCUCAUUAGAAACGCAUUGAAUAACAUAUUCAUAAAUGGCAACAAAAAAAAUACAGUCAACAAAAUAAGGAGCAAAGGAACAAGGUUUUAAAGUGUCUGUCCUAUAUCUACACAUAGGCCCAAUUUAACUCCUUUUUUUAGGGUAGGCACAAAA